rnacentral:rRNA from 1 species
UACGUAGGGUGCAAGCGUUAAUCGGAAUUACUGGGCGUAAGCGUGCGCAGGCGGCUUUGCAAGACAGAUGUGAAAUCCCCGGGCUUAACCUGGGAACUGCAUUGGUGACUGCAUCGCUCGAGUAUGGCAGAGGGGGUAGAAUUCCACGUGUAGCAGUGAAAUGCGUAGAGAUGUGGAGGAAUACCGAUGGCGAAGGCCAGGCCCCUGGGUCAAUACUGACGCUCAUGCACCGAAAGCGUGGGGAGCAAACACGG